AAGUCGUAACAAGGUUUCCGUAGGUGAACCUGCGGAAGGAUCAUUAACACGUUUAUUCUAAACGUUCAACCAACUGUGCAUGCUCAACGAAUGUGUGUAUGCGUAUCAACGCUGCAUCGUUCAUUGAAUUUUCACAUUUAUCACCUUUGUAUUUCAUUUGCUUGAGUGUUGCGCUUCGGCGUCACCGCUCGUUCAAACUUUUAAUUGACAAUCGUCGAUACAACUGUUAGCAAUGGAUAUCUAGGUUCUC
rnacentral:misc_RNA from 1 species